rnacentral:rRNA from 1 species
UACGUAAGGGGCAAGCGUUAUCCGGAUUUACUGGGUGUAAAGGGGGCGCAGACGGCGUUGCAAGCCAGGAGUGAAAGCCCGGGGCCCAACCCCGGGACUGCUCUUGGAACUGCGUGGCUGGAGUGCAGGAGGGGCAGGCGGAAUUCCUGGUGUAGCGGUGAAAUGCGUAGAUAUCAGGAGGAACACCGGUGGCGAAGGCGGCCUGCUGGACUGCAACUGACGUUGAGGCCCGAAAGCGUGGGGAGCAAACAGG